GACGAACGCUGGCGGCGUGCUUAACACAUGCAAGUCGAACGGUGAAGGGACCGGUUUUUGCUGGUUCUGGAUGAGUGGCGAACGGGUGAGUAACACGUGAGUAACCUGCCCCCUUCUUCUGGAUAACCGCAUGAAAGUGUGGCUAAUACGGGAUAUUCUGCGCCUGCUGCAUGGUGGGUGUGGGAAAGAUAUUGUUUCGGUGGGGGAUGGGCUCGCGGCCUAUCAGCUUGUUGGUGGGGUGAUGGCCUACCAAGGCGGUGACGGGUAGCCGGCCUGAGAGGGUGGACGGUCACACUGGGACUGAGACACGGCCCAGACUCCUACGGGAGGCAGCAGUGGGGAAUAUCGCACAAUGGGCGCAAGCCUGAUGCAGCGACGCCGCGUGAGGGAUGGAGGCCUUCGGGUUGUAAACCUCUUUCGCCAGUGAAGCAGGCCUGUCCCUUUUGUGGGUGGGUUGACGGUAGCUGGAUAAGAAGCGCCGGCUAACUACGUG
rnacentral:rRNA from 1 species